ACAUCAGUUCACUUUUUCUAAACACGAUUAGAAGUUAGAACUGCUUUGUUUUCUUAACCCACUUUCUACACUCCCGGUCUCACACGAUCUACUCCAACUCCGUGCACCUUCUUAUGUUUUAUAGCAAUCGCUCCUCCAUUUCUUCUCCUUGUCGUUCAACACCAAAUAAAAACCUUCUUUUAUCUGUCAAUUCAAUGUUUUUAGGGAGUUCCUGCUCGAUCUGAUUUCCUUUUCCAAUAGAGUUUGAAUCGGAGGUCCAAUCAGUCAAUGUUUCUGUGAAAUCAGAAUUACAUAGUUCAGAUAAAUUUUAUGGUCAAAAUUAGAGGAAUACUCAAUGAACAACGCGUUUUGCUAUUUGAUGGUGAAACUGAUGUUCGAUUAAUUUCAAGUGGCUUGGGUUUUUUCUGGCAUCGUAAGCAUUGCUGGAAUGCGGGAGAUGCAUGCCUUUUCCCUUUUAUGUGAAAGUGAACCCAAGGAUCAUAAUGGCAAUUAAAUUCGGAGUUGACGUUAGAUUCUUGCGCUUAUAAGGCUGUAUAAAAAUCGAACUUCCCUUCAUGAGCACCUAUGUAUAAUAUAUUAUACCUAUCUUGGCCUUUCCAUAUGAGAUUUUAAAUCUCUGCUUAAGUUGUAGUUCAGUUAUAUGUGGUUGAUUUGCAGUCAGGUAAGGUCGAUCAGUUCUUCCUGAAUUGUGGUAUCACUACAUUGCAUCUCAGGAACAUCCAGACUUUAAGCCUUGUACGCAUAUAGCUUCUCUCUGUGUCGUUAGCUGAUGGAAGAACAUCAACAAGGGUGAAGAACUCAUCCUAGUUCAUUUUAUUCGAUUUUUUCUUAUCACAGGUGAAAAAUUGGAAAAACCAUCGAGUUUUGUAGCUCGGGCUCAGUAUCUACCUAGAAGCAAAAUUACUUUGGGGAAAAUGUAGUUGUUGUCCCAGGACGCUAGAUUUUCUGCACAUUGGUUGCUUUAAAUAAUAUUGGCUGAAGGUGAUUUUUAGAUAGAAGGAUCGCUGGAGUUACUUACACCUUCAUGCACGUUGGAGCUUCUAGGAAUGCCUCUCACACUUGAAAAUGCUGAAUGAAGAAGGGGAGUGAUCUCUGAUGCUGUGCCAAUUAAUCAUGCAAUACCCUGAUGUUGAAAGUUCUUGUAGAGUGCAAGACUGGUCAUGCUUCUUGAUCUACGCUCUGAUUAAACUCAUGGCUGCUGAAACUAUUGGUCUUCUUCCAUGGGAGAAAUAGUUGUUUUACGAAGAAACAAAAACUUCCUUGAAUCACAGAAUCAAAGAGGUGUAAUCGAUUUCAAUUGUUUCUCCAUUGGCAUAAUUGCUAGUGUUGUUGUUGGAUUUCAAGCAACCGGACAGAUCUACAUAAGAGGGUAUUGAUUUGAAAUUUGAGGAAGCUCUUCAGUCAUCCCUUCUUGGAUAGGUAUGGUUUGUUCCCUCAUCUCCUGCUGUCAUUAGAAUCAUAUACUAUGAGCAAUUAAAAGAAGGGUUCAUAGGGUGGUGAAGACGUACCCUAUUAUAAUCCAAGAUUAAAUGGUUCUCAUUCAUUGGUAUAGAAAACUAAUUUCUAAAGAUAAAAAUAUAAAUAUAAAUUUGCCACGUACAUAAGAAAGCAAGCUUGGGGUGUUAGAAAUGGAAAGGUCAGUGGUUUCUUGGAUUUAAUUUAUCAGUCACAGCUUUGAAUUUCAUUUUUCUGACAAAGACAAUUAGGCCAGCUUGGAAGUGUUACCGGUGUCUACAAGACACUUGUGAAGCAUGUCGCAGGAGUGCCACGGAUACAUCCUAAUUGAUUGUUUGGUUAUCUUAUUUGCGAAUUAAGUUUAGUGUUUAUUUUAGAAAUCUUGGAUAACUGUUAAUCAUCAUAGGUUCAUUACAUCACUUAUUCAAUGUUCUCAAUAGAUGGACAUAAUUUUUCUGUUCCGUGAUGAAUCAUUGUUUUUGUUUUGAUUGUGGUCUAUGCCAUGAGGUCCGAAUUUUCUUAUUUCUCUCUUUAGUUGUGGGAGCUUAUAAGUCUACUGUAGGUAGGUAAUCUCUUUUACAACUUCUAGCUUACGUUGUUUCAGGCAUUGUGUCGCAGUUCUUGUAUUACAUGUUAUUGGGUGAUUUAUGUUAUACAUUUUUUUUUUGAGCAAGAACAAGGACUGGUAUUCAGUAGCAACUCCACGAAUACACGACUGGUUGUUAUCGAAGUACUCAAGUCUGAUGGUUAUGGAUCCAUGCACCAAUUGCGCCAACCAAAGAGUGCAUAAAGCUAAGCGACAUCUUAGCAGCAGAGUUUUGAGGAGGUCAGUGUGAGUGCACACGCAAUGGAAGUGCAAUUCUCCUUCCUAAACGUUGUUCGAGGCGGCCCUUCCUACUCUUUUAGGAGAAACCUCGUUUUCAUACUGAUUGUGUUCACUCUAGUAGAAUGUAUAUAUCAAGAUACAUGUAAACUAUAGUGAUUUUUCACCAUGUAAUCAUAUUCAAUGGCCUGCUUGGUAUAAUUUUAUCCAGAUAUUUGUUUCUGCA